GCAUCGAUUGUUCAGUGGUAAAAUGCUCGCCUGCCACGCGGGUUCGAUUCCCGGCUGAUGCU
rnacentral:tRNA from 1 species